GUUAUUGGGAGGUUUCUCCAGGUAUCAAUCUUAUCUAGUUUAGCAGAAGAGGUGCUUUGGAAAUGGGAGAUGUUUCUUUAAUGGAACUUUCUUUUGGGAGGGCCAGGAAAACUGCAUCUCCUGCAUUGAAAUUGUAACAUCUAAACCUCAUGUUGAAAAGCAAUCUGGACUACAAACAGCCAGGCCAGAGCAUGGAAGUGAAUGCUAUUCAUCCGAGAAGGAAAAGAUCUAUGUGGAGAACAGAAUGUCCUGGGAUCAUUUUUUCUUCUACUUUUCUGUCUGAUCUCUUCCUUGCCAAAUUCUGAGUCUAUGGAAAAAUUGACCCAAUCCUUUGUGUGUCGUUAGUAAAAUUAUGAUUUAAGUUUUGUCCCCCAAGGAGGUUAUGAUGGAGAAACCACAGACACAUGGCUAAGCCCUUUCAUCCUUUUGUCUGAAAGAUACAGCUUUUAUCUGAGUAAUUGGCUCAUCAUCUUUAUCUGAUGAAGGAACAACAAUGCAAAGGUGAGGCUUUUGUUUUUAAUGAUGUUGUGAAUUUGUUUACCUGGAUUCUUCCUCAGCAAGCCAUGAGUUAGCCCUGGGAUGCAUGCCUUCCACAUCUAAAAUAUUAAUAAAUCUCAGGUGCCAAGUUGUUCUCUCUGCGUGUCUAACGUUUCCCUUAUCCUGCCAUCUAAGGGAAGCUUUCAUGCCAUGCUUUAGUGCCAAGAGCAUCUUCCGGCCUAAAUGGUAACCUCAGCAGAAAGGAUGCCUCUCAGGUUGGGUUUCGCGUCUUGACAAAUCAAUAGCUCCAAACCUGCCAGCCCUCCCUCUCACUUGGCUCAAUACUCAGCUUCAACCCCAUGGAGGCCAUGUUCAUUCCUGUGCUUCUCCAUGGGUUGAUUUAAUAAAGGAGGCUCUCAAUUAAUUAGCUCCAGGGACUUACAUCCAG
rnacentral:lncRNA from 1 species